GUCAUAAUAUCACAUAGACGUCAAUGCUGUAGAAAUGUAGAUGCUUUUUGUGGUGCUACCACAGCAUAUUAAAUAAUCACUAUAAUCAUUUACUAUUUGUUUUUAGUUUAUGUAUUUGGAUACGGGAGCAAUGACUAGGGCUGAAACAACUGAAAACCUGAAGAGCAACUAAAGCCUAAACAUGUUUCAGCCUGUUCAGUUUUGUUUUUGUCUUUUAACGCUCCUCCGCCCAUGAAUGUCUUCCUGCUUUCUGACUGAAAACGAGGAAAGAAACUUUGAAACGGGAAAAGAAAUGAUGAAUCCUCCUAAAUACAGGAGUCAGAAGUCAGAAAAGAUGGAUCAAAUAAAGCCUUAAACAGAUGCCAGAGGGUAAAAAAUAUCAACAUGACCAGCUCCGAAAGCACAGUGGCUGUUUUACAUAAUCUUUCUCCCAGGAGAAAAUGGAGCAUUAACGAACCUCCUUCAAUGAGGAUCGUUCUUCAAACAGCGAAGUGGGAAACUUCAUCUUGGGCCGAUCAGCGUUUGACAGUGAAGCUCCUCCAGGUGUUGUGGAGAGAGUGGGAGGAAGACUGAAGGACAGACACGUGACGCUCAUCAACAGUCCUCAGCUGCUCCACACAAACAUCUCAGAUGAUCAGAUCACACAGACAGUCAGAGAGUGCGUGAGUCUGUCUGAUCCAGGACCUCAUGUGGUGGUUCUGCUCCUCCAACAUCAGCAGUGUUCAGCAGAAGAUCAAGAGCGCGUGGAGAAGCUGCAGGACUCUUUCUCUGAGCGUCUUUUUCAACACACCAUGGUGCUCAGCACACAAGAGUCCACUGAACCUAAUGAGAUCCUGCAGGAGAUCAUCCAGACAUGCUCAAACAGACACUUCGGUCUUCUGAGAAGCAGCUCUCCUGAGGAUCUUCUGCAGACCUGUGAGGACACUGAGCAGAGCAAUGAUGGAAGGCACCUGAUUUUAGCAGCUCAAUUUGGAAAUUUACAGUGUUUCCGGGUUUAAAGACCCCACAAGACUAUGUAGGUCCUAAUAGGGCAUGAUAGGUGAACAGUGUAAAAUUAACCUUGUGGCACCACCCAGGAACCAGAGGAUCAGGUCAUGCAUCCUUAGUAUACGGUCAUCAACUAUCUACUUCAUCAUGGUUCUGCUCUAACUUAUCUUGAGGGAACAAAACACUAAUUGGGGAAGUUAUGUGGUCUUUUAAUUAAGAGGAGCACUACUCAGCAGAUAGACUUCCCUUUCAAGGCGAAGUCCUGAGCAAGGAGCUUGUGAAUAUAAUGUAGCAUUGUGAGAUGUGUGUGACUCCAUAGGAGCAGAUGCUAAGGCAGUAGUGAAAUGCAACAUUAACAUACACCACCCGAGUGGUUGAUGUAUGCUAACAAAGACAUGUUGUCCAUCUUGAGCAACACCCUUGCAAAAAAGUGGCCAAAGUUGGUGCAAAGUCAGAAACACAGCCAACAGCUCCCAGCUAUUUAUAUUUCAAUGCAGUUGGGUGCAGUAACGAACACAAAGUUGCAUGCGUAUUGCAUACGGUGCCCUAGCCCAUACAUCUGUUGACACAAAAACAUGCCAGGGCACUUGUUGUAAGGAUAUUCUGUAAAUUAGAAAGGCAAAGUCCAACUAGGGACUGAAUGCAUAGCAACAUAUGGGUGUCAUAGUCACAAUUAAGCAUUGAGAUAAUUGAGGAAAAGAGCAACAUGGUGGCCCAGUGGGUAGCACAAUUGCCUCAGAGCAAGAAGCUCACUGGUUCGAGCUCCGGCUGGGUCAGUUGGCAUUUCUGUGUGGAGUUUGCAUGUUCUCCCUGUGUUGGCUCGAGUUUCCCCCACAGUCCAAACACAUGUGGUACAGGUAAAUUACAACUAGAUUGGCCGUACUGUAUGUGGGUGUGUGCAAGAGUGUGUGGGUGUUUCCCAGUGUUGGGUUGCGGCUGAAAGAGCAUCCACUGCAUAAAAUAUGU